rnacentral:rRNA from 1 species
AUUAAUUAGGGGAGGAAAAGAAACUAACAAGGAUUUUCUUAGUAGCGGCGAGCGAAAAGAAAACAGUUCAGCACUAAGUCACUUUGCCUAUACGACAAAUGUGAGAUGCAGUGUAUGGAAUAUCUAAAUUCUAGUAUGAGAAAUUAAUGAUUUAAGUCCUUCUUAAAUGAGGCCACUUACCCAAAGAGGGUGCCAGGCCCGUAUAACAUUAAUGAUUACUAGAAGAUAUUUCCAAAGAGUCGUGUUGCUUGAUAGUGCAGCACUAAGUUGGUGGUAAACUCCAUCUAAAACUAAAUAUAACCAUGAGACCGAUAGUAAACAAGUACCGUGAGGGAAAGUUGAAAAGAACUCUGAAUAGAGAGUUAAAUAGUACGUGAAACUGCUUAGAGGUUAAGCCCGAUGAACCUGAAUAUCAAUUAUGGAAAAUUCAUCAUUAGACUUAUGAUAUUGUUUUUAAUAUUAUAAUGAUAGUGUGCAUUUUUUCCAUAUAAUGACAUUGUAAUCUAUUAACAUAUUAAUUAUUUAUCAAAAAAUCAUGAGCGUUCAAGUUUAUUCGAAUUAUUAUGCAUUUGCAUUUUAACAUAGAAUAAUGGCUUAUUUGAUUCGAUAAAGUGUUGAUAGAUAAAUCAUAUCUACGGUGCGUUAAUUUUCCGAAAUUAUAUAAUGACAUAUUGAUCAAUGAUUUUUAUGUUUAUUAUAUGCACUUGUAUGAUUAACAAUGCGAAAGAUUCAGGAUACCUUCGGGACCCGUCUUGAAACACGGACCAAGGAGUCUAACAUAUGUGCGAGUCAUUGGGAUUUUAUAGACCUAAUGGCAUAAUUAACUUGACUUAAACAAUUAUAUGGGAUUAGUUUUGAAUAUUAUUUGUAUGAAUAAUUUCUUAACACAAUCCCGGGGCGUUCUAUAUAGUUAUGUAUAAUGGUAAUAAUAUCGUUUAUACCUCUAACUGGAACGUACCUUGAGCAUAU